rnacentral:rRNA from 1 species
GUCUACGGUCAUACCAUUUAGAAUGUGCCUGAUCUCUGCUGAUCUUGGAAGCAAAGUAGGGUUAGGCCUUGUUAACACUUAGAAGGGAGAAUGCAAGUCAUGGAGACC